rnacentral:rRNA from 1 species
UACGUAGGUGGCAAGCGUUGUCCGGAUUUACUGGGCGUAAAGAGCUCGUAGGCGGUCUGUCGCGUCGAUCGUGAAAACUUGGGGCUUAACCCUGAGCUUGCGGUCGAUACGGGCAUGACUGGAGUUCGGCAGGGGAGACUGGAAUUCCUGGUGUAGCGGUGAAAUGCGCAGAUAUCAGGAGGAACACCGGUGGCGAAGGCGGGUCUCUGGGCCGAUACUGACGCUGAGGAGCGAAAGCGUGGGGAGCGAACAGG